rnacentral:rRNA from 1 species
CCUACGGGUGGCAGCAGUGAGGAAUAUUGGUCAAUGGGCGCGAGCCUGAACCAGCCAAGUAGCGUGAAGGAUGACUGCCCUACGGGUUGUAAACUUCUUUUAUAAAGGAAUAAAGUGAGGCACGUGUGCCUUUUUGUAUGUACUUUAUGAAUAAGGAUCGGCUAACUCCGUGCCAGCAGCCGCGGUAAUACGGAGGAUCCGAGCGUUAUCCGGAUUUAUUGGGUUUAAAGGGAGCGUAGAUGGGUUGUUAAGUCAGUUGUGAAAUGUUGCGGCUCAACCGUAAAAUUGCAGUUGAAACUGGCGGCCUCGAGUGGGCGAGAAGUAUGCGGAAUGCGUGGUGUAGCGGUGAAAUGCAUAGAUAUCACGCAGAACUCCGAUUGCGAAGGCAGCAUACCGGCGCCCGACUGACGCUGAGGCACGAAAGCGUGGGUAUCGAACAGGAUUAGAUACCCCAGUAGUC